CCCUUAGAUGUCCUGGGCCGCACGCGUGCUACACUGACGCCUACGGCGAGUACUUCCCAGCCCCGAGAGGUGGCUGGUAAUCAGCAAUAGGCGUCGUGAUGGGGAUAGAUCUUUGGAAUUAUGGAUCUUGAACGAGGAAUGCCUAGUAAGCGCAGGUCAUUAGCCUGCGCUGAUUAAGUCCCUGCCCUUUGUACACACCGCCCGUCGCUCCUACCGAUUUCGAGUGGUCCGGUGAAUCUUUCGGACUGCGCGCGGCCUCGUGCCGUGUCGCGGAAAGUCAGGUAAACCUUAUCACUUAGAGGAAGGAGAAGUCGUAACA
rnacentral:rRNA from 1 species